GGUGGCUCAGUGGUAGAGCGCUUGCCUGGCAUUCAUGAGGCCCUGAGUUCCAUUCCUCAGCACCA
rfam:Dipodomys ordii contig_58087, whole genome shotgun sequence.